rnacentral:rRNA from 1 species
UGCCAGCAGCCGCGGUAACACGGGGGGCGCAAGCGUUAUUCGGAAUUACUGGGCGUAAAGGGCGCGUAGGCGGACUGACCAGUCAGGGGUGAAAUCCCGAGGCUCAACCUCGGAACUGCCUUUGAUACUGUCAGUCUAGAGUCUGUGAGAGGGUGACGGAAUACCCAGUGUAGAGGUGAAAUUCGUAGAUAUUGGGUAGAACACCGGUGGCGAAAGCGGCUUACUGGAUCUCUUCUGACGCUGAGGCACGAAAGCUAGGGUAGCAAACGGGAUUAGAUA